UACGUAGGGGGCAAGCGUUGUCCGGAAUCAUUGGGCGUAAAGAGCGUGUAGGCGGCUCGAUAAGUCUGCUGUGAAAGUCCAGGGCUCAACCCUGGAAGGCCGGUGGAAACUGUCGGGCUAGAGUCCGGAAGAGGCGAGUGGAAUUCCCGGUGUAGCGGUGAAAUGCGCAAAUAUCGGGAGGAACACCAAUGGCGAAGGCAGCUCGCUGGGACGGUACUGACGCUGAGGCGCGAAAGCCAGGGGAGCGAACGGG
rnacentral:rRNA from 1 species